rnacentral:lncRNA from 1 species
GGAACCUUCAAUGUUUGCAGUAAACUCGGAGCAAACAGGUAUGGUUGAGUCUGCAAGGCCUGCCCACUUUGAGGACCUCUUGCUCUCCCACUCCCACAAUUUGAUAAACUGUCCAUCGUGUUGCCUCACCCCUUUGCCACUACUGAGCCUGUCCUUGCUCUCCCCAGGACUUUAAAUACUGGAACAGGGUCGGGCCCUCUUUCUGGGAGGCUCCAGGGCUGGUGGCACCAUGUUCCUUGCAUUGUGGAAUUAGCAAUCUGCAGUCACAGAGCAUAAAAGCUGAUGAGCAGAGGACAGAGAUGAGAAACAGAGAGAGUAGUGGCUGGGUUGGAUUGCAGAUUCCAGCUGCCUGAGACCAAGGCUUGCUCCUGUCCUUCCCACACUGACUUAAUAUAUCUCAGAAAUGACUCUUUCUGACAGAUUCUGCCUCUGGACCAGGCAAUCUCCAACUGGAUUUCUGUGAUACCACACCAGGAAUUCCAACUAAACUCUAUCCACCAAACCCAAAUAUUUAUGGAUAAUCUACUAUGUGCAAUACAAUGGGGUCAGCUUUUGUGACUUUGAGAGGGGCUGUGGGAAAGGAUGCCCAAGGAAGAUAUUGAAGGGAUGGGAACCGGCAACUGGGCUGGGAGCUUCUGUUUACCAUCAGAAAAUGAGGAAUGGCAUAGAGAGAGAGAGAGAGAGAGAGAGAGAGAGGAUAAAUCUUAUCCGCAGGCCUCUGCUUAAGGACACGAGAAAGUCUUCCUGCUCCUUCCUCUCUUCCUGGCCAUCCUCACUGACCUGAGGGUGAUUUAGACUCACAAUCAUCUCCUGAACCCUAGGGCAAAAUGUCCUGACUGUGGCAGCCUCACUGGAAGAAGACAGACAGACUACAAAUGUGAAGGUUUGUAGGAUACAUAUCUAUUAGAAUUGUAUAUGUUGUUUUCCUUUACAAAAACAAAGCUCAGAAACUAACAGACACUUAAACAAAGAGGAUAUACAGAUGGCAAAUGAGCACAUGAAAAAAUGCUCAAUAUUUUUAGCUAUUAGACAAAUGCAAAUUAAAGUCAUGAGAAGAUAUCAUUACACACCUAUCAGAAAGGCUAAAACAGAAAUUAGUGACAAACACCAAAUGCUGGUGAGGAUGCAAGAAACUGGAUCACUCAUUCAUGAUUGGUGGUCUUUACAAUGGUACAACCACUCUGGAAAAUAAUUUGGCAAUUUCUUUAAAAAACCAAACGUUCAACUACCAUGUGACUCAGCAAUUGCACUCCUAGGUAUUUAUUCCAGAGAAAUGAAAACUUAUGCUCACCCAAAAACCUGGACAUGAAUGUUCAUAGCAGCUUCGUUUAUAGUAGCCAAAAGCUGAAAUCAGCCCAGAGGGACUUCAUCCAGUGAAUGGUUAAACUGUGGCACAUCCACACCAUGAAAUAAAGGAAAGAACCAUUGAUACAUGCAACUUCAAUGAAUCUCCAGGAAAUCAUGCUAAGAAAAAAGCAACAACAAAAAUUCCCCAAAAGGUUACAUACUGUAUGAUUCCAUUUAUAUAACAUUUUUGAAAUAAUAAAAUUUUAGAAAUGGAUAACAUAUUAGUGGUUACAAGGAGUUAAAGGAAAAGUAAUGUGGGAGGAAAGUGGGUGUGGCUGUAUAAGGGCAACAUGAGGGGUCCCUGUGGAGAUGGAAGUGUUCUGUAUCUGGACUAUGUCAGUGUCAGUAUCCUGUGGUGAUGUUGUACUAUAGUUUGGCAAGAUGUUGCCACUGGGCGAAACUGAGUAAACAGUACAGGGAGUAUCUCUGUAUUAUUUCUUACAAUUGCAUGUGAUUAUGUAAUUAUCUCAAAAUAAAAAUAACAACUGCCCAAAGGCAUUACAGAGUGAACAAAAGCAGGCAGAAACAGGAGGAGGCUCUGCACUUGGAAGAAAGGAAUGGCAUAGAAAGAGGUUGCUAUUUUGUUUUUAUGACUUUUAGCCUGAAAGCGGUUCUCGGCCUGAACUAUGCAGGGUGGUUAAAAUUCCAGUAGAAAACCUGCCGUCGGCUGGGCUCAGUGGCUCAUGUCUGUAAUCCCAGUACUUUGAGAUGCUGAGGGCAGCAGACCACUUGAGGUCAGGAGUUCAAGACCAGCCUGGCCAACAUGGCGAAACCCCGUCUCUACUAAAAAUUUGAAAAUUAGCCGGGUGUGGUGGUGAGCACUUGUAAUCCCAGCUACUUGGGAGGCUGAGGCAGGAGACGGAGUUUGCAGUGAGCCAAGACUGCGCCAUUGCUUUCCAGCCUGAGCAACAAGAACAAAACUCCAUCUCCAAAAAAAAAAAGAAAAGAAAAAAGAAAACCUGCCAUCUUUCUGGCUUGGAGAGUCAAAAGUUAGAGUCUGGGCAAUGACAGCUGCUAGAAAGUGAGAGGUGAGCCCCAGAAAGGUGAGGACCAGUGAGGAGAAGCCCUGAAUUCUGUGUGUUUUCUCUGUCCAAAUCUCUGGCUGAUCCCUCAACUGUGUACGUGUGUGCAAGACUUCCAAUAGCCCAGCCAAGACUAAAAGAACUGAGCUGAGGUUCAACUUGCUGACUGAGAGGGAGGGUUGGCAGCUGGAGUAGAGAGAGCCAAGUUUAUGGCUUUAUAAAACAAGUAAGCAGACAAACAAGUAUCAGUGCUCUUCAGAAAUAUAAUAGAAUCCAGAGUCACUGCAAAAUAGCAUCCACAAUGCCUAGAAUACAAUCCAAAAUUAUUAGACAUAGGAAAACCUAGGAGCUGUCCUUGAUUCUUCUCCAUCUCUUGCUUUCUGCAGUCAAUCCAUUCAUGAGAGCUGUCAGCUCCACCUGAACACACAGUGUCACUUCAUCUUUUUCCUGUCUCCACUAUGACCUUCUCGUCCCAGCCACCACUGUCUGUGACCUGGAUUACCACAUGAGGCUCCUUACCAGUGUCCCCGCUUCCACCCUCACUCAUCCCCCACACAUCAGCCAGGGCCAUCUCUUUAAAGUACAGGCCUCCUUGCCUGGCCCACAGGCCCUGCAGGGUAUCCCACCUGCCUCUCCAGCUUCAUCUCAUUUCACUCAGGCCCUUCCUCACCACUCUCCACUUUCCCCAACUGCUGUCCGCUCCUCCAGCGUCCUUAGCACCUUCGUUCUUGCUGUUCUGUCUGAUCCUCCUGUUCUUAUUAAGGUUUCAGCCCAAAUAUCACCUCCUGAGAUAGACCUUCCUUGAUUCUACCACUCCCCAAGAUUGUCCAACAGUCACUCUCAUGGUCCCUGGUUUUAUUUUUCUAAAGCAUUGAGUCACUGCUUCCAUGUUUGUUUUCAUUAUCUGUCUUCCCCAGUGAGAGUGUUAGCCCCACAUAGGGAGGGACUGUGCUACCUUGCUUAUUGCUUAUCUGCAGGGCCUGGAGUAGCACCUAAUGACAGUAGGUUCUUAUUUCAGCCAUCUAUUAUGCAUAAUGGCCUUUUCAAACGUAGAGGCCUAAAACAACAAGCAUUUUAUUAUGCCUGCAGAUUCAGGCAGGGCCCAGGAGGAAUAGCAUGUUUCUGUUUCAUGAUGUCUGAGACCUCAUGAAAACUGGACUGGCUGGGGGUGACUUGAAGAGCUGGGACUGGAGGGUCUACUUCCAAGAAGUCUACCUCCCUCUCUUGGCUGGGCCCUGGGCUGGAAUGGUUGAGACACUGGGAUCAGUUGGGAAUGUGGACUGGGACCUGUAGGCGGCCCCAGCCUGACAACCUCAGGACAGUCAGAUGGCUUACAAGGUAGCAUAACCUCUCAGGGAACUAGGCUAAAGCUGUGUAGCCCUGGACACAAAGCAGAACAUCCACAAUCCUCUGCUGGCCACAGUAGUUACUAGGGAAUCUAUACCUCAGUUACUUAUGGGAAGACCGUCAAAUAAUUUGUAGCCACUGAAGAAAGUCUGCAAUAGAUCUCAACAAAGAUUUGUUGGAGGAAUGAAUGGAAUGAAUGAAUCUGUAUGAAGAUAUCCCUAGAUAAUUGGUUUCAAGUGUCAGCUACUGAAGUACUGAGGACUAUCCUAAAAGGAUGGACUUAGAUAAAUCCACCUUCCCCCUAUACCAGCCCGAUUAGAGGGUCCCACCUGUCAUCGGCUCUACUUCUUGUUUUUCCCGCACUCAUGAGCAAAACAGCAAAUGACAGGAAUCACUGCAUUACAUUUUCUAACACCUUAGCUUCCUUCUUCAAGCCAAUGACAGCGGCUGCUGGGUCAGGCAUGAGCAGUGCAGCAGGUGGCAGCGGCCUCUCCCAGGCUGGAUGUGGAGGUGUCCUGCCAACCUCGUGACGCAGUCUACAAUGGAGGAUGGCAAGGCUCCGUGACUCUGGCAGGGCCAUGAGAGGACCAAGAGUGCAAGAGGCAAGGACUGGAAGGAGAGCUCUAAGAAAACAGCCAUCAGUGACCAUUCAUCAUGUUCCUAUUCACCUCAUCCUUUACAUGUGCUUUCUUUCUUUCUUUUUUUUUUUUUUUUUUUUUUGAGACAGAGUCUUGCUUUGUCACCCAGGCUGGAAUGCAGUGGCAUGAUUUCGGCUCCCUGCAACCUCCAUCUCCUGAGUUCAAGCGAUUCUCCUGCCUCAGCCUCCUGAGUAGCUGGGAUUACAGGCAUGUGCCACCAUACUCAGCUAAUUUUUGUAUUUUUAGUAGAGACAGGGUUUUGCCAUGUUGGCCAGGCUGGUCUCGAACUCCUGGCCUCAAGUGAUUCACCCGCCUCGGCCUCCCAAAGUGCUGGGAUUAUAGGCGUGAGCCACUGUGCCCAGCCUACAUGUGCAUUUUCAUUGAUCCGCCCUGCAAGGCAGGGUUGUUACCUUCUUGACCCAUUUUACAGAUGAGGAGACAGAGGCUCAGCAAGGUUGAAGUAGCUCACCCGGGAUAAGGUUUCUCAGCUCCCUGGCCCUCCUACAUGAUCCUGGACAUCAACCCGGCUAGAAGGAUGAAUUUCAACAAUGUUUGGAGGGAUGUGGAAAUAGACUGAGAGAUGAAGAUCAUGAAGCCCCGAAGGGCUGCAGCUGCCUCCUAAUGGCCUUUGCUCCCCAAUCCAACACCAGCCCCUCUGCUGAGGACAUGGUAAGCAUUCGAUGACGUAAAUGAUCAGGUGCAUCCAACGCCUCCCUUUCACAGCCCCAUCCCCUCUCCUGUCCCCAUCCUCCUCCAGACCUUUCUACAGAGUCGAGCUCCUCGUGUACGCCUUCUUGCUCUGAAGGACGUUUUGUAACAUUUCAGAAGACACUGAACUCUCCCGGAAGAGAUGAAUCCAAAGGCACUGAUUUUGGAAGUCAGGGGGCUCCUAAGAAAAGUGGCCUUGAUGUGUCAGCAGAUUCUAGGAAGGGGAGCAAAAGACAUGAGAGGUUGUUCAGGGUCCCCUGACUCUGUGGGUCUUAAAUCCACAGAUGUGUGAGCCGAGGGCAUCGACCUCUCUUUAGCAGCUAAAUAGGAAUCUCACUCUUCAUCUGUGAAAAUAUGUUUCGUAAGUACAAGAUGGUGUUUAACUCAGGUGUUAACAGGAGAACGCCUCAGCACCCAUGGAUUUAUGGGAUGAUGAAUUGGGAUUGAGAAUUGGGAUUGAUGAAUUGGGUGAGAAUCCAGAAUUUCUGAGCAAGGAAAAGCCUGAAAGUCUCAUGAGCCGCUCUGCCUUUGCUGAGGGAAAAUUCCAUUCACUAUCCAUGCUGGCCAUCUGUUAAGUUAAACAUCUCUGCCUAUGAAAUCUAAGAAUAAAUGGAAACUACAACAUUGCUAUCAAUGCAUCAGCAGCAUCAAAGACGGGUAAUGCUUAGUAACACCUUGUGUGUGUUUGCUUUUCUCACACACCUGAGCUCACUUUGAUCCUUGCAACAUCUCUGGGGUGUGGACAUAGGCAGUGACUUUUGCCCUCCUGGGGCUCUCCAGCAACGUCGGAGGUCAGAAUAAAAAGGUCUUCACAUUCUUUACGACACCUUUGGCUGCAACAGUGGUGCUCAACUGGGGGCCAUUGGACCCCCUCCCCAGGGAACACUGGUAAUGUCCAGAGACACUUGAGUUGUCACACCUGGGAGAGGGGGAAGGACUAUUGGCUCUAGUGGGCAGAGGCCAGAGACACUGCUAAGCAUCCUGCCAUGCACACAACUGCCCCACAACAAAGAAUUAUCUGGCCCUAGGUGUCAAUACCAUCGAGGUUAAGAAACCCUGGGCUAUAAGUAAUGAAAAAUCCUGCCCCAUGUGGUCUGAAACAAUAAAUACACUUCUAAUCUCAUAUAACAAGAAAUCCUUUGAUGAGGUGGACCCAGGAUCUUAUCAGUCAAUGACUCUGUGUGAACAGCGGUCCAGAAUUUGCUUGGGUCCUAUUCCAAUGUGCAAACUUCCAAAGGUGCCGGGA